rnacentral:rRNA from 1 species
GACGAACGCUGGCGGCGUGCUUAACACAUGCAAGUCGAACGGAAAGGCCCUGCUUUUGUGGGGUGCUCGAGUGGCGAACGUGUGAGUAACACGUGAGUAACCUGCCCUUGACUUUGGGAUAACUUCAGGAAACUGGGGCUAAUACCGGAUAGGAGCUCCUGCUGCAUGGUGGGGGUUGGAAAGUUUCGGCGGUUGGGGAUGGACUCGCGGCUUAUCAGCUUGUUGGUGGGGUAGUGGCUUACCAAGGCUUUGACGGGUAGCCGGCCUGAGAGGGUGACCGGCCACAUUGGGACUGAGAUACGGCCCAGACUCCUACGGGAGGCAGCAGUGGGGAACAUUGCACAAUGGGCGGAAGCCUGAUGCAGCAACGCCGCGUGCGGGAUGACGGCCUUCGGGUUGUAAACCGCUUUCGCCUGUGACGAAGCGUGAGUGACGGUAAUGGGUAAAGAAGCACCGGCUAACUACGUG